rnacentral:sRNA from 1 species
UACCCAAUGUGCCGUCGAACAAGGGUUCA